AUUGCAAUCUUGUGUUAUUUAUCCAUCUUGUUGAAUAUUGUCGUUGUUGCCUUGAAAACCUAGAGAAGCCGAGUGGGGCCUUUGAUUCUCUAGUGAUGUUGUUCUUGUUGUUCUCUUGAUUCUUUGUUGUAAGUUUGAUCUUUUGUAUCACCAACUCAGCAUCUGGCUCGUAACUUCAUGGUGAAGCCGAGGCGUAGAAAGGGAAUGCGUGAGACGUGAGAAUCAAAAAGUUCUUUGACGAGGCUAUGAUGGUGAAGCUUGCACAGCAGGAUGCUGAUCUUCACCUGCAGAUAAUGUAGAUAUUUAGUUGAGAUGGUUCUGUCUUUGUGCUUAGGUGCAUUCCUUUUUGGAUUAAUCUUUUACCUUCCGGUCCCAGUUUUAGCGGGUGAGAGUUUCAUAUCACGAAUGGUUUUUGGUUAAACUACAUUUGAGUACUGCAUUCUGUUGGAGGAAUUCCUAUUCAAGCUUAAUUGAUACUGGAAAUGUAGCAGCAACAGAAUAUUUCCAAAUUGGUCAUCUGCCUGAUGUUAGCUAUAGUUGGUUUAGAAAUGUCAAGUUGGUAUAGGUACUUAAAGGAUGUAUUAAUCGACAGAUUAGAUUCCCAUUUAUGUGAAAAAAACUAUGAAUAGAUUACCUAUAUAUAGUAUUACUCUGCUGCAGUUUGAAGAGAUCAUUAUCUUCUUGGCUUCAAUUUGGUCUUUUUAAAAAGAAUAGUGCUCUCCAUUGACUCU